rnacentral:miRNA from 1 species
AGCACACACAGCAGUGUGUGUGUGUGUAUGUAUCUAUAUAUAUAUAUAUAUAUAUAUAUAUCAGUGGCACAAUGUAUCUAUAUAUAUAUAUAUAUAGAUACAUACACACACACACACACACACAUGGCGUGUGUUUG